AAAGGAUCAGGUUUUGUUGCAUGGACUUCCUCUAGAUCUAGUUCAUGAGUCCCCCCAUUGCUGUCAAAGUACGUGUAUGAACUUGGGUUGAACUUGAAGACAACAUAUCUUUUGUCUGACUCAAGUAAUUCCUGGAGAUUGUCACCUCGGCAUGUAGCACCAAGGCUGGAUGAACUCAGUAUACCCAAAACGGAGUAAGAGUACUUCUCUAUCAUGCUCCUUUCAG
rnacentral:misc_RNA from 1 species